AACGAACGCUGGCGGCAUGCCUAACACAUGCCAGUCGAACGAAACCUUCGGGUCUAGUGGCGCACGGGUGCGUAACGCGUGGGAACCUUCCCUUAGGGUCGGCAUAACUCCCCGAAAGGGGUGCUAAUACCGGAUAAUGUCUUCUGACCAAGGAUUUAUCGCCUUUGGAUGGGCCCGCGUUGGAUUAGCUAGUUGGUAGGGUAAAAGCCUACCAAGGCGACGAUCCAUAGCUGAUCUGAGAGGAUGAUCAGCCACACCGGGACUGAGACACGGCCCAGACUCCUACGGGAGGCAGCAGUGGGGAAUAUUGGAAAAUGGGCGAAAGCCUGAUCCAGCAAUGCCGCGUGAGUGAUGAAGGCCUUAGGGUUGUAAAGCUCUUUUACCCGGGAUGAUAAUGACAGUACCGGGAGAAUAAGCUCCGGCUAACUCCGUG
rnacentral:rRNA from 1 species